GAUGAACGCUAGCGGCAGGCCUAAUACAUGCAAGUCGAGGGGUAGAAGAGGCUUGCUUCUUUGAGACCGGCGCACGGGUGCGUAACGCGUAUGCAACCUACCUUCAUCUGGGGGAUAGCCCGGAGAAAUCCGGAUUAAUACCGCAUAAAAUCACAGGAUGGCAUUAUCCAAUGAUCAAACAUUUAUGUGAUGGAGCUGGGCAUGCGUGUCAUUAGCUAGUUGGAGGGGUAACGGCCCACCAAGGCGACGAGGACUAGGGGAUCUGAGAGGAUGGCCCCCCACACUGGUACUGAGACACGGACCAGACUCCUACGGGAGGCAGCAGUAAGGAAUAUUGGUCAAUGGAGGCAACUCUGACCCAGCCAUGCCGCGUGCAGGAAGACUGCCCUAUGGGUUGUAAACUGCUUUUAUUCGGGAAUAAACCUUAUUACGUGUAAUAAGCUGAAUGUACCGAAGGAAUAAGGAUCGGCUAACUCCGUGCCAGCCGCCGCCGUAAUAC
rnacentral:rRNA from 1 species